GGCAGCGGGAAAGUAGCUUGCUACUUUUGCCGGCGAGCGGCGGACGGGUGAGUAAUGCCUGGGGAUCUGCCCAGUCGAGGGGGAUAACUACUGGAAACGGUAGCUAAUACCGCAUACGCCCUACGGGGGAAAGCAGGGGACCUUCGGGCCUUGCGCGAUUGGAUGAACCCAGGUGGGAUUAGCUAGUUGGUGAGGUAAUGGCUCACCAAGGCGACGAUCCCUAGCUGGUCUGAGAGGAUGAUCAGCCACACUGGAACUGAGACACGUUCCAGACUCCUACGGGAGGCAGCAGUGGGGAAUAUUGCACAAUGGGGGAAAUCCUGAUGCAGCCAUGCCGCGUGUGUGAAGAAGGCCUUCGGGUUGUAAAGCACUUUCAGCUAGGAGGAAAGGUUGGUAGCGAAUAAC
rnacentral:rRNA from 1 species